rnacentral:lncRNA from 1 species
AAGUUAGAUACGUGUAAUGGAUAUAAAGGUCACAUUAUUUUCAUUGAUGCAUUCUUUUAUAAUAUAUUCAGGAAAGUCAGAAAUCCAGUUCAGAUGUAGAGCAGAUGGAGGAAGCAGCAGCUGGACCGUCAGGGCUUCAGUUCAUUAAGGUGAGAUUAAUUUCUCUCUCUGAUGAGGUUAGAGGGGACAGCUGGGUGCGACGGCCCAGUGAUUUCCCCUUUUUGUGUAUUUCAGCUGGAUCUCCAACCUCUCUUUUGGUAAGUAGUUUUCAGUCUUUGAUAUCUAAAUUAAAUUUGGUUUAUCACUCAAGAAUCACUGAUACUGACACAAUUUUAUUUUUUCCAGCCUCACCAACGUCAUGCUGCACAGCGGCCUACAUCUUAACUUCAUCUGAUAGUCUGCACAGUAACAAACAAAUUAACACGGAAGCUACUGUGUUUGAUCAGAUCCACUUCAAAACCGAUGGAGUUCAUCCUGACACUAUGUUGGCAUCCCAGAAGUCCAAUUUUAAUAUAAAGUGUCAGAGCUUUGAUGUGCAGGUGAGUUUAAUAGAUGUAUGCUGCUAUUAAAUACACUUUUAUUUGACUCGAGACUUAAACUGUACUUUAAUUAACACAUCGAUGUACAACAACGGUGAGAUAAGAGCAAAGAACAUUCCUUAUUCACAAAGAUAGAAUCCCAAAUAUCAUGCUGCAGUGGACCAGACAGCGUGACGUCACACAUCAUGAUUGUGUUACAAUGGCUCACAACUCACUUCUUCCUUUCACUCAUUACAGGUGACUGGUUGUACUACAUGAGGUACACUGGCACAACUCGCUCAAUGGGGGUGAAGGUCCUCCGUGGGGCAAAAGAGGUCUUUGAGGAGGCUCACUUCAGCAGUGGACACCGCAGCCAGAGAACCACCAGAGAGACAAUCUCUCAGGUUUUACUGGCCUGGAAUGUCAAAUGCCACCUUCACCUCCUCCUCUGGGCCAUCCACAGGCUGUUGGCACUCGCCUGCCUCGUUAAACACCACAGUGGACUCUCCGAUCAUCAAGAGUAUGUUUGAUAAUUUGUAAAAAGAAUUAUAAUAUUGAAACAUUUUGUACAGCACUGACAGUCUCAUUCACUGCAUGAAAAGUGGGAUUUUCGUCAGUAGGCGGCACUGUAGAUUGACGUGGAAUUUCAGGUUUGCGGCAGUUUGCAGGCAACACUGAAAACUGACGUAAAUUGUCGUGGGCCUUGCUUGGCAGU